UGGCAGAGGUUACUGCUAUCGAGGUUCGACUAAGCCAUGCGAGUCGAAUGUAGCAAUACAUGGCGAACUGCUCAGUAACACGUGGACAACCUGCCCUUAGGUUGGGUAUAAACCCGGGAAACUGGGUAUAAUACCCGAUAGGUCUCGAUUGCUGGAAUGCAUCGAGAUUUAAAGCUCCGGCGCCUAAGGAUGGGUCUGCGGCCUAUCAGGUAGUAGUGGGUGUAGCGUACCUACUAGCCUACGACGGGUACGGGUUGUGAGAGCAAGAGCCCGGAGAUGGAUUCUGAGACACGAAUCCAGGCCCUACGGGGUGCAGCAGGCGCGAAAACUUUACAAUGCUGGCAACAGCGAUAAGGGAACCUCGAGUGCCAGGUUACAAAUCUGGCUGUCGAGAUGCCUAAAAAGCAUUUCAUAGCAAGGGCCGGGCAAGACCGGUGCCAGCCGCCGCGGUAACACCGGCGGCUCGAGUGGUAACCGUUAUUAUUGGGUCUAAAGGGUCUGUAGCCGGCCGGAUAAGUCUCUUGAGAAAUCUGGCAGCUUAACUGUCAGGCUUUCAGGAGAUACUGUCUGGCUCGAGGCCGGGAGAGGUGAGAGGUACUUCAGGGGUAGGGGUGAAAUCUUGUAAUCCUUGAAGGACCACCAGUGGCGAAGGCGUCUCACCAGAACGGACCUGACGGCAAGGGACGAAAGCUAGGGGCACGAACCGGAUUAGAUACCCGGGUAGUCCUAGCCGUAAACGAUACUCGCUAGGUGUCGGCCACGGUGCGACCGUUGUCGGUGCCGUAGGGAAGCCGUGAAGCGAGCCACCUGGGAAGUACGGCCGCAAGGCUGAAACUUAA
rnacentral:rRNA from 1 species